UUCGGGUGGCGGACGGGUGAGUAACGCGUGGGUAACCUGCCUUACACAGGGGGAUAACACCUGGAAACAGGUGCUAAUACCGCAUAAGCGCACAGGGCCGCAUGGCCCGGUGUGAAAAACUCCGGUGGUGUAAGAUGGACCCGCGUCUGAUUAGCUUGUUGGCGGGGUAGAGGCCCACCAAGGCGACGAUCAGUAGCCGGCCUGAGAGGGUGGACGGCCACAUUGGGACUGAGACACGGCCCAAACUCCUACGGGAGGCAGCAG
rnacentral:rRNA from 1 species